CAGCAGUGUCACAUCACUGACUCACGGCAUCUGUAGGAGCUGGGACACGGAAGGCAUGCCAGAUUUACAGGUCUCGCAGGACAGAAUGGACUCCAGAACA